UCCUACGGGAGGCAGCAGUAGGGAAUCUUCCGCAAUGGACGAAAGUCUGACGGAGCAACGCCGCGUGAACGAUGAAGGCCUUCGGGUCGUAAAGUUCUGUUGUUAGGGAAGAACAAGUACCAGAGUAACUGCUGGUACCUUGACGGUACCUAACCAGAAAGCCACGGCUAACUACGUGCCAGCAGCCGCGGUAAUACGUAGGUGGCAAGCGUUGUCCGGAAUUAUUGGGCGUAAAGCGCGCGCAGGUGGUUUCUUAAGUCUGAUGUGAAAGCCCACGGCUCAACCGUGGAGGGUCAUUGGAAACUGGGGAACUUGAGUGCAGAAAAGGAAAGUGGAAUUCCAAGUGUAGCGGUGAAAUGCGUAAAGAUUUGGAGGAACACCAGUGGCGAAGGCGACUUUCUGGUCUGUAACUGACACUGAGGCCCGAAAGCGUGGGGAGCGAACAGGAUUUAAAACCCUGGUAAUCCCCGCCGUAAACGAUGAGGGCUAAAUGUUAAAGGGUUUUCCCCCCU
rnacentral:rRNA from 1 species